GGCUGUGCAUUAUAAGGUGUGGCAUUUAUAGAGAUAUGGCUACAAUUAAGUGGUUGGCGCCCUGUUACCCUUUUUAUGUGAUGAAUGAAUACUUUGAUUAGAUUAAAUCUUAGAUUACGUAAGAGGUUUUGCUAUAUGUUUGUUCUUUGGUUCUGUAGUGUCCUGAGAUUCUUUUGUUACAAAAUCAGUCAACCAUGAAUUCCACAUUUCUACUGCGAUGAUAAAUAUUUGUUUUGUUU
rnacentral:lncRNA from 1 species